rnacentral:rRNA from 1 species
GGGCGCAAGCCUGAUGCAGCCAUGCCGCGUGUGUGAAGAAGGCCUUAGGGUUGUCACGCACUUUCAGUCAGGAGGAAAGGUUAGUAGUUAAUACCUGCUAGCUGUGACGUUACUGACAGAAGAAGCACCGGCUAACUCCGUGCCAGCAGCCGCGGUAAUACGGAGGGUGCGAGCGUUAAUCGGAAUUACUGGGCGUAAAGCGUACGCAGGCGGUUUGUUAAGCGAGAUGUGAAAGCCCCGGGCUUAACCUGGGAACUGCAUUUCGAACUGGCAAACUAGAGUGUGAUAGAGGGUGGUAGAAUUUCAGGUGUAGCGGUGAAAUGCGUAGAGAUCUGAAGGAAUACCGAUGGCGAAGGCAGCCACCUGGGUCAACACUGACGCUCAUGUACGAAAGCGUGGGGAGCAACCAGGAUUAGAUACCCUGGUAGUCCACGCCGUAAACGAUGUCUACUAGGAGCUGGGGUCUUCGGACAACUUUUCCAAAGCUAACGCAUUAAGUAGACCGCCUGGGGAGUACGGCCG